UCACAAACUGUGAGAUCAUGACCUGAGCCAAAAUCUAGUCAGAUGCUCAACCAACUGAGCCACCCAAGCACUCCUCAGGGGAUUUUCUAAAAACUCAUUAUUAUUUAUCCUAUAUCUAAAUUCCAUCCAUCUAUCCCCUCCCUCCACCCGCCCUCCAUCCACCCAUCCGUCAUCCAUCCAUCCAUCCAUCCAUCCAAUAAACCUUUAUUGAAUAUAUCCUUGCUUAGCUCUGGGGAUACAGAAAAAACUCAGGCCCCUUCUCUGUGCUCAUUGAGUUCACAGUCUAGUGGGAAAGACAGCCAUAUAAGCCACAAAUCAUUAGUUUCCUUAACCCCAUUUUCAGACAGUACUACCUUUGGCAGUAACAGUUUCCACAGACCACGGAUUAUGGGACUUUAAGUUCAGUUCACCUUUAUGAAACAUCUACUAUGGGCAAGAUCUGCAGAUACAGUGAUGGACAAGACACCGUUUCUAUCCUCAAGAAGGUCACAGUCAAGGGAGAAAAGGACACACAAACAGGGCAAAAAGAAACCUGUUAGAUGAAGAGGACAGAAGGAAGCAUGGCUUGUCGGAGGACCUGGAAGCGGGUAUUAUUGGGGCUUCAGGAGGGAGGUGGUGGGGCGCGAGU